rnacentral:rRNA from 1 species
ACGGGUGAGUAACACGUGGGUAACCUGCCCUUAAGUGGGGGAUAACAUUUGGAAACAGAUGCUAAUACCGCAUAAAUCCAAGAACCGCAUGGUUCUUGGCUGAAAGAUGGCGCAAGCUAUCGCUUUUGGAUGGACCCGCGGCGUAUUAGCUAGUUGGUGAGGUAACGGCUCACCAAGGCAAUGAUACGUAGCCGAACUGAGAGGUUGAUCGGCCACAUUGGGACUG